rnacentral:rRNA from 1 species
CGGGUGAGUAACACGUGGAUAACCUACCUAUAAGACUGGGAUAACUUAGGGAAACCGGAGCUAAUACCGGAUAAUAUUUUGAACCGCAUGGUUCAAAAGUGAAAGACGGUCUUGCUGUCACUUAUAGAUGGAUCCGCGCUGCAUUAGCUAGUUGGUAAGGUAACGGCUUACCAAGGCAACGAUGCAUAGCCGACCUGAGAGGGUGAUAGGCCACACUGGAACUGAGACACGGUCCAG